rnacentral:rRNA from 1 species
ACCUAGUAGUACGGAAUAAUUGUUGGAAACGGCAACUAAUACCGUAUAUGCCCUACGGGGGAAAAAUUUAUUGCUAUUAGAUGAGCCUAUAUUAGAUUAGCUAGUUGGUGGAGUAAUAGCCUACCAAGGCAAUGAUCUAUAGCUGAUCUGAGAGGAUGAUCAGCCACACUGGAACUGAGAUACGGUCCAGACUCCUACGGGAGGCAGCAGUGGGGAAUAUUGGACAAUGGGCGAAAGCCUGAUCCAGCCAUGCCGCAUGAGUGAAGAAGGCCUUUGGGCUGUAAAGCUCUUUUAGUGAGGAAGAUAAUGACGGUACUCACAGAAGAAGUCCUGGCUAACUCCGUGCCAGCAGCCGCGGUAAUACGGAGAGGGCUAGCGUUAUUCGGAAUUAUUGGGCGUAAAGGGCGCGUAGGCUGGUUAAUAAGUUAAAAGUGAAAUCCCGAGGCUUAACCUUGGAAUUGCUUUUAAAACUAUUAAUCUAGAGAUUGAAAGAGGAUAGAGGAAUUCCUGAUGUAGAGGUGAAAUUCGUAAAUAUUAGGAGGAACACCAGUGGCGAAGGCGUCUAUCUGGUUCAAAUCUGACGCUGAAGCGCGAAAGCGUGGGGAGCAAACAGGAUUAGAUACCCUGGUAGUCCACGCUGUAAACGAUGAAUGUUAAAUAUGGGAAGUUUACUUUCUGUACUACAGCUAACGCGUUAAACAUUCCGCCUGGGGACUACGGUCGCAAGAUUAAAACUCAAAGGAAUUGACGGGGACCCGCACAAGCGGUGGAGCAUGUGGUUUAAUUCGAUGCAACGCGAAAAACCUUACCACUUCUUGACAUGAAA